UAACAGAUGUUGAACUGAUCAUUGCAAUUUAAACCUCAGGUGUACUUAAUUUGGAAUCCCAGUGUGACACAGCAGGGGCAAAAGAUUCAGUGUGGAAGAAACGACAAGAAAAGGAUUAGGAGAUCUGUUUCUUCACCUUUAAUGAGGCUUCCUCUAAUAAAUGUGUUAAGUUUCACUGCAUGCUACAUGUCCUCUGUUCAGCUCUACUUUCCAUAAAAAAACAUGACUCAUUAAAAGGUUGGGGGAGAGGACCAACAGGAAGGAGAGGGAGGGUAGGGAAAAAGGUAUCCUCCAUUCCUGGAAUGCUCUCGCAUCUCACCUCUACCUCUUGGAAUCCUUAGCUACCUUAAAGACAUAAAGUUGCCAUUUCCUUUCUCUUGCGUUUUCUAAUUAUUAUGAUCUCCCCACCUACUAAAAACAAAAAAGAAGGAAAGAAAAGGAAAAAAAGAAGGAAGAGAAAAAAAUUUCUCCAGUGGAAUGAAAGCCCCUUGAAGGUAAGAACUGCUUAAUUUUUGUCUUUAUAUUUUAGAUGCUAAAGCUAAGAUGGAUAGAGAGACUAGUG
rnacentral:lncRNA from 1 species